GGCGAGAUGGCCGAGCGGUCUAAGGCGCCAGACUAAGGCAUUUGAACGAUUGGUUCAUAGCAUAUCUGGUCCGAAAGGGCGUGGGUUCGAAUCCCACUCUCGUCA